GGGCUUGUGGCGGAAUUGGUAUACGCAACAGACUUAAAAUCUGUCGGGAGUAUUCUCUUGUGGGUUCGAGUCCCACCAAGCCCA
rnacentral:tRNA from 1 species